rnacentral:tRNA from 2 species
GGUAGGAUGGCCGAAGUUAGGUGGCGGGUUGUAACCCCGUAGAUAGAGGUUUGAAUCCUCUUCCUAUCA